rnacentral:rRNA from 1 species
UGAAUACGAGAUGCUACGGCGUCGAAGCAGUCUAUGUCAUACUUCCAAGAAAAGCUCGCACUGUCAUAAGCAAAUAAUGCCUGUACCAUAACCGACACAGGUGGGUAGGUAGAGUAUACUAAGGGGCGCGAGAUAACUCUCUCUAAGGAACUCGGCAAAAUGACUCCGUAACUUCGGGAGAAGGAGUGCCUUAUUUAUAAGGUUGCAAUAACAAGAUCCAAGCAACUGUUUAUCAAAAACACAGGUCUCCGCUAAGUCGUAAGACGAUGUAUGGGGGCUGACGCCUGCCCAGUGCCAGAAGGUUAAAGAAGUUGGUUAGCAUUCGCGAAGCUGAUAACUGAAGCCCUGGUGAACGGCGGCCGUAACAAUAACGGUCCUAAGGUAGCGAAAUUCCUUGUCGGGUAAGUUCCGACCCGCACGAAAGGCGUAAUGAUUUGGAUACUGUCUCGGAGAGGGGCUCGGUGAAAUAGACUUGUCUGUGAAGAUGCGGACUACCUGCACCAGGACAGAAAGACCCUAUGAAGCUUUACUGUAACUUGAGAUUGAAAUUGGACUUUACUUGCGCAGUAUAGGUGGGAGGCGUUGAUAAUAUUCUUGCGGGAUUAUUUGAGCCAUCAGUGAGAUACCACUCUUGUAAUGUUAGAUUUCUAACUUUGUAUCAUUAUCUGGUCAGAGGACAGUUUCAGGCGGGCAGUUUGACUGGGGCGGUCGCCUCCUAAACGGUAACGGAGGCGCACAAAGGUUUCCUCUGAACGGGUAGAAAUCGUAUCUAGAGUGUAAAGGCAUAAGGAAGCUUGACUGUGAGACCUACAAGUCGAGCAGGGACGAAAGUCGGUCUUAGUGAUCUGACGGUGCUGAGUGGAAAGGCCGUCACUCAACGGAUAAAAGUUACUCUAGGAUAACAGGCUGAUCUCCCCCAAGAGUUCGCAUCGACGGGGAGGUUUGGCACCUCGAUGUCGGCUCAUCGCAUCCUGGGGCGGUAGUACGUCCCAAGGGUUGGGCUGUUCGCCCAUGAAAGCGGUACGCGAGCUGGGUUCAGAACGUCGUGAGACAGUUCGGUCCAUAUCCGGUGUAGGCGUUAGAAUAUUGAGAGGAGCCUUCUUUAGUACGAGAGGACCGAGAAGGACAUACCUCUGGUGUACCAGUUAUCGUGCCAACGGUAAACGCUGGGUAGCUAUGUAUGGAGUGGAUAACCGCUGAAAGCAUCUAAGUGGGAAGCCCACCUCAAGAUAAGUAUUCCCAAC